AUUGAACGCUGGCGGCAGGCUUAACACAUGCAAGUCGAGCGAGCGGCGGACGGGUGAGUAAUGUCUGGGAAACUGUCUGAUGGAGGGGGAUAACUACUGGAAACGGUAGCUAAUACCGCAUACCAUCAGAUGUGCCCAGAUGGGAUUAGCUGGUAGGUGGGGUAUUGGGUCACCUAUGUGACGAUCCACAGCUGGUCUGAGAGGAUGACCAGCAAGAGUGGAACUGAGACACGGUCCAUAGUCCUAAGGGAGGCAGCAGUGGGGAAUAGUGCACAAUGGGCGGAAGCCUAAUGCAUCCAAGCCGCGUGUGUGAAGAAGGCCAGCGGGUUGUAAAGCACUAUCAGCGGAGAGGCGUUACUCGCAGAAGAAGCACCGGCUAACUCCGUGCCAGCAGCCGCGGUAAUAC
rnacentral:rRNA from 1 species